UACGUAGGUGGCAAGCGUUGUCCGGAUUUACUGGGCGUAAAGAGCGCGCAGGCGGUCGUUCAAGUCGCGUGUGAAAGCCCCCGGCUCAACUGGGGAGGGUCACGCGAUACUGAUCGACUCGAAGGCAGGAGAGGGAAGUGGAAUUCCCGGUGUAGUGGUGAAAUGCGUAGAUAUCGGGAGGAACACCAGUGGCGAAGGCGGCUUCCUGGACCAGUACCGACGUUCAGGCACGAAAGCGUGGGGAGCAAACAGG
rnacentral:rRNA from 1 species